GGAGGGUGCAAGCGUUGUUCGGAAUUAUUGGGCGUAAAGAGCGUGUAGGCGGUCCGGUAAGUCAGAUGUGAAAGCCCUGGGCUCAACCCAGGAAGUGCAUUUGAAACUACCAGACUUGAGUACGGGAGAGGAGGGGGGAAUUCCCGGUGUAGAGGUGAAAUUCGUAGAUAUCGGGAGGAAUACCAGUGGCGAAGGCGCCCUCUGGACCGAUACUGACGCUGAGACGCGAAAGCGUGGGGAGCAAACGGGAUUAGAUACCCUGGGUAGUCCACGCCGUAAACGAUGAGCACUAGGUGUAGCGGGUAUUGACCCCCCUGCUGUGCCGUAGCUAACGCAUUAAGUGCUCCGCCUGGGGGGCUACGGUCGCAAGACUA
rnacentral:rRNA from 1 species